rnacentral:rRNA from 1 species
GGGGCGGGGGUGCUAUACAUGCAAGUCGAGCGGACCGACGGGAGCUUGCUCCCUUAGGUCAGCGGCGGACGGGUGAGUAACACGUGGGUAACCUGCCUGUAAGACUGGGAUAACUCCGGGAAACCGGGGCUAAUACCGGAUGCUUGAUUGAACCGCAUGGUUCAAUCAUAAAAGGUGGCUUUUAGCUACCACUUGCAGAUGGACCCGCGGCGCAUUAGCUAGUUGGUGAGGUAACGGCUCACCAAGGCGACGAUGCGUAGCCGACCUGAGAGGGUGAUCGGCCACACUGGGACUGAGACACGGCCCAGACUCCUACGGGAGGCAGCAGUAGGGAAUCUUCCGCAAUGGACGAAAGUCUGACGGAGCAACGCCGCGUGAGUGAUGAAGGUUUUCGGAUCGUAAAACUCUGUUGUUAGGGAAGAACAAGUACCGUUCGAAUAGGGCGGCACCUUGACGGUACCUAACCAGAAAGCCACGGCUAACUACGUGCCAGCAGCCGCGGUAAUACGUAGGUGGCAAGCGUUGUCCGGAAUUAUUGGGCGUAAAGCGCGCGCAGGCGGUUUCUUAAGUCUGAUGUGAAAGCCCCCGGCUCAACCGGGGAGGGUCAUUGGAAACUGGGGAACUUGAGUGCAGAAGAGGAGAGUGGAAUUCCACGUGUAGCGGUGAAAUGCGUAAAGAUGUGGAGGAACACCAGUGGCGAAGGCGACUCUCUGGUCUGUAACUGACGCUGAGGCGCGAAAGCGUGGGGAGCGAACAGGAUUAGAUACCCUGGUAGUCCACGCCGUAAACGAUGAGUGCUAAGUGUUAGAGGGUUUCCGCCCUUUAGUGCUGCAGCAAACGCAUUAAGCACUCCGCCUGGGGAGUACGGUCGCAAGACUGAAACUCAAAGGAAUUGACGGGGGCCCGCACAAGCGGUGGAGCAUGUGGUUUAAUUCGAAGCACGCGAAGAACCUUACCAGGUCUUGACUCCUCUGACACCCUAGAGAUAGGCUUCCCUUCGGGGCAA